AGAGCGAACGCUGGCGGCGUGCUUAACACAUGCAAGUCGAGUGCGCGGUAUAGCAAUAUACUGGCGCACGGCGCACGGGUGAGUAACACGUGGGUAACCUGCCCUCCAAAAGGGGAUAACCCCGCGAAAGCGGGGCUAAUACCGUAUGACAUUCCGAUGGUUUCGGCUGUUGGAUCAAAGGCCGCAAGGCCGUUGGAGGAGGGGCCCGCGCCCGAUUAGCUUGUUGGCGAGGUAAUGGCUCACCAAGGCUUUGAUCGGUA
rnacentral:rRNA from 1 species